CCUGCUUGCGCCAGCCGGCCCGAUACGCAUCAUAGCUCGCCUUGGCAUCCUGGAGCUGUUGCUGAAGGUCGGAGACCUUCUUCGACCAUUCCCAAUCACUGUCGGCCCGAGUCAAAAGCCGGGAUGAGCUUCCUUCCAACUGGCUAAUCCUCUCCUGUGCAGCCGACAGCUCCACUCAGAGGGAACUGAUCUUGACAGCUUGAGCCCAAAUUCGAUCGCUGGCGCGCUUCUUGUAUUCCUCAAGCUCCUUCUCGAAGUUCGCCUUCCUCCAACUGUACUCCAUGAUCUCCUUCACGUGGAGGUUCCGAAAGUGGGUGACCUCCGUGGCGGCUUCAGAGUGGCUCUCCCUCAACCUGCGAAGCUUGCCUUCCAUCUUCUUC
rnacentral:lncRNA from 1 species